GGUUUUGUGGUGUAGUGGUAAUCACAUCUGCCUACUUUGCAGAAGGUCCUGGGUUCGAUCCCCAGCAGAACCA